CAGCAGCCGCGGGAAUACGAAGGGGGCUAGCGUUGCUCGGAAUGACUGGGCGUAAAGGGCGCGUAGGCGGAUUGUUUAGUUAGGCGUGAAAUUCCUGGGCUUAACCAGGGGGCUGCGUUUGAUACUUGGUUGCUUGAGUGGGGAAGAGGGUCGUGGAAUUCCCAGUGUAGAGGUGAAAUUCGUAGAUAUUGGGAAGAACACCGGUGGCGAAGGCGGCGACCUGGUCCUUUACUGACGCUGAGGCGCGAGAGCGUGGGGAGCAAACAGGAUUAGAUACCCCCGUAGUCCCUGUCUCUUAUAC
rnacentral:rRNA from 1 species